UUUUUUUUUUUUCAAUGUCAGCUCUUCAAACUUUAUUGCAAACUCCAAACCAAAGAAAACACAAAGUGAAUAUUUUAUACAUCAGACCAAACAAUAACAUAACACAAAUAUUCUGUACAGAUAAUCUAACAGCAGAGUGCAAGGGUUAAAUUAUAAAAUUCCAGGUCAAAAGUAGUAGAGAAGAGAUGCGAGAUCAAUUAAAAGAAAUUAGCAGUUAUCCAACAGUCAUGGAUGAGGUGUCCGUAAAAUGACUCAGACAUUUAUCUAAAUGCAGGAAAUUUACAUAACAGGAAUGUGUAGCUGGUAUUUGUGUUGAUCUAAGAUUCCCUCCGUGCAUGCCCCAGUCCGAAUGUGAAACUGGAAUAAAGGCUAUUGUUUACUGUAUCCAAGUAGAUUGAAGUGUUCGAGCAAUCAAUCUAUAUGCUGUUCCGAUAGGGAUACUGACAAACCCUGCACACUUGGUGUGAUCUGCAAAAUGCGCGUGUAACCCACCAUAAAUGUGUUUAAGUGAUAUGUCCAUAUAAAAUGCCUGGCAGUUGUCAAAAGGAUCAAUUACGAAAUUUGGUUAAUUGAUUAAUUAACCUAAUUAAAAUAAUUUUAACCCAUAUGCAAAAAAAGUAUUUUGCAACAGGCGAUUCGGUGAGUUUAUGAACUAACCAAAUUUCUGAAUUUGUUCAUUUGUCGUCUAAAAUCCAUUUUAUUCAGAUGAAUCACUUACAUUUUCAUGUACCCACAUACACUUUACACUCUCCUUUAAUUAAAAAGAAACUCCACACUGUGUUCAAUCCAACAUUUUCUACUUAACUGUACCCAAUCAAACUACAAGCCUCAAUAAAUCCACAAAUAAAACACUUUAAACGAAGCAAUACAUUCGUAAAACACAACAGAUUUAACUUGUCCAUUUAUUGCACUAUCGUUUCUUUCCCAGACUCCUUCAAUAUCCACUGACAGUGUAACCCACUCCAACAAUACACAACACGAACUGUACCAUCUCUUAUGUCAGCAUACUGACUGCAUUUACUGUACCGCUUGUCUACAGCAAUUGUAAUCUGUAAAGUACCAAGUACACCUGCUAGCGAUGCAGAAAUGCAAUAUUCACACACUGUAAGAAGCUUUACAUGACCUCUGCACACAUUAGUCCACCAAAAAAACUAGACUGGAGCAUCCAUCCAGUAAAUCCCAUUACAACUGUAACCGAAUAAAGGGGAACUGUCACUUCACUGGAAUGGACACAGUUGACAAAAACAUUGAAAAAUCACCUGCAAAACUUGCUCUUUUUUUUUU